CGCACGGGUGAGUAACACGUAUCCAACCUGCCGUCUACUCUUGGACAGCCUUCUGAAAGGAAGAUUAAUACAAGAUGGCAUCAUGAGUCCGCAUGUUCACAUGAUUAAAGGUAUUCCGGUAGACGAUGGGGAUGCGUUCCAUUAGAUAGUAGGCGGGGUAACGGCCCACCUAGCCUUCGAUGGAUAGGGGUUCUGAGAGGAAGGUCCCCCACAUUGGAACUGAGACACGGUCCAA
rnacentral:rRNA from 1 species